rnacentral:rRNA from 1 species
UACGGAGGGUGCAAGCGUUGUCCGGAUUUAUUGGGUUUAAAGGGUGCGUAGGCGGCUUUUUAAGUCAGCGGUGAAAUACUUCGGCUCAACCGAGGAACUGCCGUUGAUACUGGAAGGCUUGAGUACUGAUGAAGUGGGCGGAAUUGAAGGUGUAGCGGUGAAAUGCAUAGAUAUCUUCAAGAACACCGAUUGCGAAGGCAGCUCACUAAGGAGUAACUGACGCUGAGGCACGAAAGCGUGGGUAGCAAAC